GUCUACAGCCAUACCACCCUGAACAUGCCCAGUCUCUUCUGAUCUCAGAAGCUAAGCAGGGUCGGGCCCGGUUACUACUUGGAUGGGGGACUGUCUGGGAAUACCAGGUGCUGUAGGCU
rnacentral:rRNA from 1 species